GACGAACGCUGGCGGCGUGCUUAACACAUGCAAGUCGAACGGAAAGGCCCUGCUUUUGUGGGGUGCUCGAGUGGCGAACGGGUGAGUAACACGUGAGUAACCUGCCCUUGACUUUGGGAUAACUUCAGGAAACUGGGGCUAAUACCGGAUAGGAGCUCCUGCUGCAUGGUGGGGGUUGGAAAGUUUCGGCGGUUGGGGAUGGACUCGCGGCUUAUCAGCUUGUUGGUGGGGUAGUGGCUUACCAAGGCCUUGACGGGUAGCCGGCCUGAGAGGGUGACCGGCGACAUUGGGACUGAGAUACGGCGCAGAGUCCUACGGGAGGCAGCAGUGGGGAAUAUUGCACAAUGGGCGGAAGCCGGAUGCAGAAACGCCGCGUGCGGGAUGACGGCCUUUGGGUUGUAAACAGCUUUCGCCUGUGACGAAGCGUGAGUGACGGUAAUGGGUAAAGAAGCACCGGCUAACUACGUG
rnacentral:rRNA from 1 species